rnacentral:rRNA from 1 species
UACGGGGGGGAGCAAGCGUUGUUCGGAAUUACUGGGCGUAAAGCGCACGUAGGCGGAUUUGUAAGUCAGGGGUGAAAUCCCGGGGCUCAACCUCGGAACUGCCUUUGAUACUGCGAAUCUCGAGUCCGGAAGAGGUGAGUGGAAUUCCUGGUGUAGCGGUGAAAAUGCGCAGAUAUCAGGAAGAACACCAAUGGCGAAAGCAGCUCUCUGGGACGGUACUGACGCUGAGACGCGAAAGCGUGGGGAGCGAACAGG